GACCACUUGUAGUUCACAACUGUGAUGGUUGGGUUUUUAGGCUCACGUGUGAGAUUGUGUCUCCCUCAAACCUUGUUACCACAUCAUCAUAUUAUCUGACU
ensembl:snoRNA